GACGAACGCUGGCGGCGUGCUUAACACAUGCAAGUCGAGCGGUAAGGCCCUUUCGGGGGUACACGAGCGGCGAACGGGUGAGUAACGCGUGAAGAACCUGCCUUCAACAGGGGGAUAACACUCCCAACGGGGUGCUAAUACCGCAUGAGACCACGGGUCCACCUGGACCAGGGGUCAAAGGUGGCCUCUGCUUGCAAGCUACCGGUUGAAGAUGGCUUCGCGUCCCAUUAGCUAGUUGGCGGUGAACGGACCACCAAGGCGACGAUGGGUAGCUGGUCUGAGAGGAUGGUCAGCCACACUGGGACUGAGAUACGGCCCAGACUCCUACGGGAGG
rnacentral:rRNA from 1 species